rnacentral:rRNA from 1 species
AUUGAACGCUGGCGGCAGGCCUAACACAUGCAAGUCGAACGGUAACAGGAAACAGCUUGCUGUUUCGCUGACGAGUGGCGGACGGGUGAGUAAUGUCUGGGAAACUGCCUGAUGGAGGGGGAUAACUACUGGAAACGGUAGCUAAUACCGCAUAACGUCGCAAGACCAAAGAGGGGGACCUUCGGGCCUCUUGCCAUCGGAUGUGCCCAGAUGGGAUUAGCUAGUAGGUGGGGUAACGGCUCACCUAGGCGACGAUCCCUAGCUGGUCUGAGAGGAUGACCAGCCACACUGGAACUGAGACACGGUCCAGACUCCUACGGGAGGCAGCAGUGGGGAAUAUUGCACAAUGGGCGCAAGCCUGAUGCAGCCAUGCCGCGUGUAUGAAGAAGGCCUUCGGGUUGUAAAGUACUUUCAGCGGGGAGGAAGGGAGUAAAGUUAAUACCUUUGCUCAUUGACGUUACCCGCAGAAGAAGCACCGGCUAACUCCGUGCCAGCCGCCGCAGUAA